rnacentral:rRNA from 1 species
GACGUAGGAUGCGAGCGUUAUUCGGAUUUAUUGGGCGUAAAGCGUGCGUAGGCGGCUGUUUAAGUCUGGUGUUAAAGCUAGGGGCUCAACCCCUGUGGUGCAUCGGAUACUGGGCAGCUUGAGUGCGGUAGGGGAAGGUGGAAUUCCGAGUGUAGCGGUGAAAUGCGCAGAUAUCGGGAGGAACACCGGUGGCGAAGGCGGUUCUCUGGGCCUGUACUGACGCUGAGGAGCGAAAGCGUGGGGAGCGAACAGG